UUCUUAUCUAGAGAGGUGGAGGGACUGGCCCGAUGAAACCCGGCAACAAUUUUAAGCUAUAAGCUUAAAAAAUGUGCUAAUUCCUGCAGUGAAAACUGAGAGAUAAGAA
rnacentral:ncRNA from 2 species